rnacentral:rRNA from 1 species
UACGGGGGGGAGCAAGCGUUGUUCGGAUUUACUGGGCGUAAAGGGCGCGUAGGCGGCUCUGCACGUCCGUUGUGAAAUCGCCCGGCUCAACUGGGCGGGGUCAGCGGAUACGGCAGAGCUCGAGCAAGCUAGGGGGCAAUGGAAUUCCCGGUGUAGUGGUGGAAUGCGUAGAUAUCGGGAGGAACACCGGUGGCGAAGGCGGCGACCUGGGUCGACACUGACGCUGAGGCGCGAAAGCGUGGGGAGCAAACAGG